rnacentral:rRNA from 1 species
ACGGGAGGCAGCAGUGAGGAAUAUUGGUCAAUGGACGAGAGUCUGAACCAGCCAAGUAGCGUGCAGGAUGACGGCCCUCCGGGUUGUAAACUGCUUUUAGUUGGGAAUAAAAGAAGCGACGUGUCGCUUAUUGUAUGUACCAUCAGAAAAAGGACCGGCUAAUUCCGUGCCAGCAGCCGCGGUAAUACGGAAGGUCCGGGCGUUAUCCGGAUUUAUUGGGUUUAAAGGGUGCGUAGGCGGGCUGUUAAGUCAGCGGUGAAACCCCCGGGCUCAACCCGGGGACUGCCAUUGAAACUGGCGGCCUUGAGUACGUUGGGAGUGCGCGGAAUGUGUGGUGUAGCGGUGAAAUGCAUAGAUAUCACACAGAACACCGAUCGCGUAGGCAGCGCACUACGCCGCAACUGACGCUGAGGCACGAAGGCGCGGGGAUCGAACAGGAUUAGAUACCCUGGUA